CUCUGGCUGCUGAAUUAUUUUCCGUCACUUUCUCGAGAAAAUAGAGGAGGAACGAGAGGAGAUAGAGAGAGAGCUCUAUAGGAAACUUCCUCGAAGGAGCUUUGACUCGUCAGUCGUCACUCGGGGGCUUCCUCGUGAUACUAUUUAAAAUUUAAAAACUUUUUCAAAACAAAUAAAAGAUUUAGUACUUUAAAAAAUGACAAAUUACUACAUC